GACGAACGCUGGCGGCGUGCUUAACACAUGCAAGUCGAACGGAAAGGCCCUGCUUUUGUGGGGUGCUCGAGUGGCGAACGGGUGAGUAACACGUGAGUAACCUGCCCUUGACUUUGGGAUAACUUCAGGAAACUGGGGCUAAUACCGGAUAGGAGCUCCUGCUGCAUGGUGGGGGUUGGAAAGUUUCGGCGGUUGGGGAUGGACUCGCGGCUUAUCAGCUUGUUGGUGGGGUAGUGGCUUACCAAGGCUUUGACGGGUAGCCGGCCUGAGAGGGUGACCGGCCACAUUGGGACUGAGAUACGGCCCAGACUCCUACGGGAGGCAGCAGUGGGGAAUAUUGCACAAUGGGCGGUAGCCUGAUGCAGCAACGCCGCGUGCGGGAUGACGGCCUUCGGGUUGUAAACCGCUUUCGCCUGUGACGAAGCGUGAGUGACGGUAAUGGGUAAAGAAGCACCGGCUAACUACGUGCCAGCAGCCGCGGUGAUACGUAGGGUGCGAGCGUUGUCCGGAUUUAUUGGGCGUAAAGGGCUCGUAGGUGGUUGAUCGCGUCGGAAGUGUAAUCUUGGGGCUUAACCCUGAGCGUGCUUUCGAUACGGGUUGACUUGAGGAAGGUAGGGGAGAAUGGAAUUCCUGGUGGAGCGGUGGAAUGCGCAGAUAUCAGGAGGAACACCAGUGGCGAAGGCGGUUCUCUGGGCCUUUCCUGACGCUGAGGAGCGAAAGCGUGGGGAGCGAACAGGCUUAGAUACCCUGGUAGUCCACGCUGUAAACGGUGGGUACUAGGUGUGGGGUCCAUUCCACGGGUUCCGUGCCGUAGCUAACGCUUUAAGUACCCCGCCUGGGGAGUACGGCCGCAAGGCUAAAACUCAAAGGAAUUGACGGGGCCCCGCACAAGCGGCGGAGCAUGCGGAUUAAUUCGAUGCAACGCGUAGAACCUUACCUGGGUUUGACAUGGAUCGGGAGUGCUCAGAGAUGGGUGUGCCUCUUUUGGGGUCGGUUCACAGGUGGUGCAUGCCUGUCGUCAGCUCGUGUCGUGAGAUGUUGGGUUAAGUCCCGCAACGAGCGCAACCCUUGUUCACUGUUGCCAGCACGUUAUGGUGGGGACUCAGUGGAGACCGCCGGGGUCAACUCGGAGGAAGGUGGGGAUGACGUCAAGUCAUCAUGCCCCUUAUGUCCAGGGCCUCACGCAUGCUACAAUGGCUGGUACAGAGAGUGGCGAGCCUGUGAGGGUGAGCGAAUCUCGGAAAGCCGGUCUCAGUUCGGAUUGGGGUCUGCAACUCGACCUCAUGAAGUCGGAGUCGCUAGUAAUCGCAGAUCAGCAACGCUGCGGUGAAUACGUUCCCGGGGCU
rnacentral:rRNA from 1 species